GUGUGCAGCACAUAUACUAAAAUUGGAACGAUACAGAGAAGAUUAGCAUGGCCCCUGUGCACAGAUGACUCUCUUCAUAUUUUUAAUAGCUCUUAAGUGUU
rnacentral:snRNA from 1 species